rnacentral:lncRNA from 1 species
UGCAAUCAUUGAACAUCUUAAAAAGAUGUUUGGUGCACAAAGCAGGACAGCAAGAUACCAGCUAUCUAAGGCUUUAUUUGGAUCCAAAUUGACUGGAAACUUUCAAGUUAGGCCUUAUGUCAAUCGUAUGAUUGAUCUUAUUGAAGAACUUGAGAAGUUGGGGUGCAAAUUGGGUAAAAAGCUUUCUCAAGAUUUGAUCAUGUAGUCACUCUCCGAAUCCUUUUCACAAUUUGUUAUUAAUUUUAAUAUGCAAAAAAUGGAUUGUGAUCUCGAGGAGAUGCUUAACAUGCUUAUUGAUUAUGAGAAUCAACUUGCAUCUGAGAAGAAGAGAGGAACUGUCAUGCUCGUUGGAAACUCUUCUAAGAAGAAGUGUAAGAGUAAAAAUAAAUCCAAGAAGAAACCUAUUGUGCCUAAGGGUGGCGUGACCAAACCCAAAGGCAUAACAGGCAAAACUGACAAAUCUGAUGCUGAAUGUUUCCAUUGUGAGAACAUAGGACAUUGGAAGAGAAACUACCUAGAGUAUCUUGCAACUCUAAAUGAUAAGAAACAAGGUAAUACUCACAUAGGACACUGGAAGAGAAACUACCUAGAGUAUCUUGCAACUCUAAAUGAUAAGAAACAAGGUAAUACUCAAUUGAAAAUUGUUUCAAAGUUUCUUUAACUACUACUGAUAUUUCAUUGUGGGUAUUAGAUACUGACAGGGUUCCAAAUAAGUAGAAGGUCGAAGAAAGGAGAAAUUAAUCUACAAGUUGGAAAUGGUGCAAAAGUUGCGGCCAUAAAUGUAGGGUCAAUUUCCUUAAUUAUGCCUACGGGCAAAGUACUUAUGUUGGAUGAUUGUUAUUACGUUCCUAUAUUUGUUUCGAAUAUAAUUUCAGCUUCUAUGUUAGAUAAACGUGGUUUUCACAUAAAUAAAGGAAAUGGUAUUUGCUCUAUUUAUUAUGGUGAUAAUUUAUAUGUAAAUGACUAUCUCCAACUUGAUGUAUCUUACCUAAUGUGAGUGCUAUUUCAACUAUGCAUGUUUCAAGUCUUAAGAGAAAAAGAGAUGAUCAAUUAAAUCAUACAUACCUUUGGCAUUGUAGGCAUGGUCAUAUUGGAGAGAAAGAAUUAACAAGUUGUGCAAGGAAGGGUACCUUGACAAAUAUGAUUUUGAAUCAUAUCCAAUUUGUGAAUCUUGUCUCAAAGUAAAAAUGACCAAAUCUUCAUUUACUGGAAGUGAAGACAGAGCUACUGAAUUAUUGGGACUAGCUCAUACAGAUGUUUGUGGGCUCAUGAAAAUUCAAGCUAGAGGUGGAUAUUCUUACUUCAUCACCUUCACUGAUGAUAUGUCAAGAUAUGGAUUUGUUUAUCUUAUGAAACAAAAGUCUGGCUCAUACAGAUGUUUGUGGGCCCAUGAAAAUUCAAGCUAGAAGUGGAUAUUAUUACUUCAUCACUUUCCCUGAUGAUAUGUCAAGAUAUGGAUUUAUGUAUCUUAUGAAACAUAAAUUUGAAUCUUUUGAAAUGUUCAAAAGGUUCUGUAGUGAAGUUGAGAAACAGCUGGGUAAAAGUAUCAAGGUACUAAGGUCUGAUAGAGGCGAAAAAUAUCUUAGUGAAAAUUUUACUAAGAAUCUCAAAGAGAAUAAAGUUCUCUCACAAUUGACACCUCCAGGAACACCACAACAUAGUGGUGUGUCUGAAAGGAGAAAUCAAACCUUAUUAGAUUUGGUGAGAUCUAUGAUGGGGUUCACUGAUAAAUUUAUGGCGAUAUGCUUUGGAAGCAGCAACAUACUUACUAAAUAAAGUUCCCACUAAGUCCGUCUCCACAACACCAUAUGAGAUAUUGAAAGGAUGUAAGCCUAACCUUAAACAUAUUAAAGUUUGGGGUUGUCCAGCUUAUGUUAAGAGAAUGCAGUCUGAUAAACUUAACUCAAGAUUUGAUAAUUGUAGGUUCGUUGGUUAUCCCAAAGAAACAAUGGGAUAUUAUUUCUAUCAUCCUUCUGACCAUAAAGUGUUUGUAGCUAGAGGAGCAACCUUUUUGGAAAGGGAAUUUCUUUUGGAAGUAAAUUAUAGUGGAGAAAUAGAAUGAUGAAAUUCAAGAAACUAAUGAAACAUGC